rnacentral:rRNA from 1 species
GAUGAACGCGGGCGGCGUGCCUAAUACAGGCAAGUCGAGCGAACGGACGAGAAGCUUGCUUCUCUGAUGUUAGCGGCGGACGGGUGAGUAACACGUGGAUAACCUACCUAUAAGACUGGGAUAACUUCGGGAAACCGUAGCUAAUACCGGAUAAUAUUUUGAACCGCAUGGUUCAAAAGUGAAAGACGGUCUUGCUGUCACCUAUAGAUGGAUCCGCGCUGCAUUAUCUAGUUGGUAAGGUAACGGCUUACCAAGGCAACGAUGCAUAGCCGACCUGAGAGGGUGACGGGACACACUGGAACUGAGCCCCGGCCCAGAAACCCACGGGAGGCAGCAGUAGGGAAGAUUCCGAAAUGGGCGAACGAUUGAAGGAGCACAGCGGCGUGAGUGAUGAAGGUCUUCGGAUCGUAAAACUCUGUUACUAGGGAAGAACAUAUGUGUAAGUCACUGUGCCAAUCUUGACGGUCCCUAAUCAGAAAGCAACGGCUAACUACGUG